rnacentral:misc_RNA from 1 species
GAGAUCUUCUCCAAAAUUCUUGUUAUCACUCGAACCAUUCAAUUCACCAACCUCUUCUUCCUUGUGUACUUUUCCAUGUGAACUUCCUUCAUCCUUCAAUAUUGAAUUAGCAUGAUAAUUAAGCCCGCCAUUGGUUGAUGCAGAGGUAUCUGGUUCUCUCCAUCUAUUCUCAGAAUCCUGUUUGUCUUUGUUCUCUACCGAUCUAG